rnacentral:rRNA from 1 species
CCUACGGGUGGCAGCAGUGAGGAAUAUUGGUCAAUGGCCGUAAGGCUGAACCAGCCAAGUAGCGUGAGGGAAGACUGCCCUAUGGGUUGUAAACCUCUUUUAUGCGGGGAUAAAGGUGUCCACGUGUGCCUUUUUGCAUGUACUUUAUGAAUAAGGAUCGGCUAACUCCGUGCCAGCAGCCGCGGUAAUACGGAGGAUCCGAGCGUUAUCCGGAUUUAUUUGGUUUAAAGGGAGCGUAGAUGGGUUGUUAAGUCAGUUGUGAAAGUUUGCGGCUCAACCGUAAAAUUGCAAUUGAUACUGGCAGGCUUGAGUACAGUUGAGGUAGGCGGAAUUCGUGGUGUAGCGGUGAAAUGCUUAGAUAUCACGAAGAACCCCGAUUGCGAAGGCAGCUUACUAAACUGUGACUGACAUUGAUGCUCGAAAGUGUGGGUAUCAAACAGGAUUAGAUACCCCAGUAGUC